rnacentral:lncRNA from 1 species
GCCUGGUCCUAUAGACAUUCUUCAGUGGGCAUUCGAUACAGGAAACAACAAAAUUAAUUGUUUGAUUUUAUAAUAGUCAUUGUUAAAAUGCAUGAUACAAUUUGACCAUUUUAAACACAAUAUAACCACAAAUUUGAAAACGUAUUUCCAUUGUGGUCCUGAACAUACACAAAAACAAAAUAUACACAAGAUUAUAAACCGGGUAGUUUGUGUCCUGGAUAUUGACUUGCUGAAAGCCGGGGUAUAUUUAAGCAAUAAGGCCAGAGGGGGGUGGUAUAUGGCCAAUAUACUACAGCUAAGGGCUUUUCUUAAGCGCAAUGUGGCAUACCAUAGCUUCAAUGCCAUACAAAUCUCCUUCCGUGGCCUCCAACUGCUCUAAAUACAAGUAAAACUAAAUGCAUGCUCUUCAACCGAUCGCUGCCUGCACCUGCCCGCCCGUCCAGCAUCACUACUCUGGACGGUUCUGACUUAGAAUAUGUGGACAACUACAAAUACCUAGGUGUCUGGUUAGACUGUAAACUCUCCUUCCAUACUCACAUCAAACAUCUCCAAUCCAAAGUUAAAUCUAGAAUUGGCUUCCUAUUUUGCAACAAAGCAUCCUUCACUCAUGCUGCCAAACAUACCCUCGUAAAACUGACCAUCCUUUCAGAUCCUCGACUUCGGCGAUGUCAUUUACAAAAUAUCCUCCAAUACCCUACUCAAUAAAUUGGAAGCAGUCUAUCACAGUGCCAUCCGUUUUGUCACCAAAGCCCCAUAUACUACCCACCACUGCGACCUGAACGCUCUCGUUGGCUGGCCCUCGCUUCAUACUCGUCACCAAACCCACUGGCUCCAGGUCAUCUACAAGUCUCUGCUAGGUAAAGUCCCCCAUUAUCUCAGCUCGCUGGUCACCAUAGCAGCACCCACCUGUAGUACGCGCUCCAGCAGGUAUAUCUCACUGGUCACCCCCAAAGCCAAUUCCUCCUUCGGCCGCCUCUCCUUCCAGUUCUCUGCUGCCAAUGACCAGAACGAACUACAAAAAUCUCUGAAACUGGAAACACUUAUCUCCCUCACUAGCUUUAAGCAUCAGCUGUCAGAGCAGCUCACAGAUUACUGCACCUGUACAUAGCCCAUCUAUAAUUUAGCACAAACAACUACCUCUUCCCCUACUGUAUUUAUUUAUUUUGCUCCUUUGCACCCCAUUAUUUAUAUUUCUACUUUGCACUUUCUUCCACUGCAAAUCUACCAUUCCAGUGUUUUACUUGCUAUAUUGUAUGUACUUCCACCAUGGCCUUUUUUUGCCUUUAUCUCACCUCAUUUGCUCACAUUGUAUAUAGACUUAUUUUUCUACUGUAUUAUUGACUGUAUGUUUGUUUUACUCCAUGUGUAACUCUGUGUUGUUGUAUGUGUCAAACUGCUUUGCUUUAUCUUGGCCAGGUCGCAAUUGUAAAUGAGAACUUGUUCUCAACUUGCCUACCUGGUUAAAUAAAGGUGAAAUAAAAUAAAUAAAAAAAUGCAAUCCCACUGGGCAAAAACUGGGUCAAUCAACAUAGAUGUUUUUGUUGAAAUGACGUGGAAACAAUGUGAUGACGUUGAAUCUACGUGGGAAAAUGAUCGUAUUUGCAAAAUGUAUUCAACUUACAGGAUUCUUUGUGCCUAGUGUAAUCCUACUAUAGCACAGCAGUCUCAUAUUGGCAACACUGGCUCUGGUGUGAUGGAUAUGAGGGUCUAUAAUAACAUUUAAAUAACCAGACAAUACAAGAUACCAAACCACAGCUCACUAUAUACAAAUACACAACAAGCUCUACAAAAUUAAAUUAAAUUUCUCUUCUAAAUCUCUCAUACUAUCAACACCAAAGUGAGUUAUUGAACAGUUCCAUAUCAGAAUGAAUCCAUCAUUUUACUCCUUUGUCCAAGACAGUUUAGUAGACGGUGUCUUUUCAGAUAGUAAAGGCCUCUGAAAGUAUUUUUACAAACAUAGCAGGUAUGAUGUUUCUGCUUGGAGUGGCUCUGGAUGAGCUUUAGUAGGGCAGAUGCUUCAGACCAGCUCAGUUUCCACUUGGAGCUCUCAGAAACAUGGCUCUCUUGCUUGGGUGUGUUAUUGUGGCGGCAGGUGUUGAGGUACUCCAACCACUUGUUUCUAUGAUUUCGCUCAUGCUUCUUGAGGUGUUCUGCCAUGUGGAAUACUUUGUAACACAUUGAGCAUGAGAAGGGCCUUUCAGUAGAAUGUGUGUACUUGUGGUGCUUCAGAUGAUCCGCCCGGCUGAAGCUUAGGCCACACUCCUCACAUUGGAACACAUUGCCAGCCUUUGUGUGAGUGUGAUAUCUAUGUCUCCGGAGAGAGUUACGGUCCUUGAACGUUGUCCCACAAGCCUUACAAAGAUAACUUCUCAACAUUGUGUGCAUUUUACCGAGGUGGGUCUUUAAGUCCUCCUGCCGCCCUAAUGUAUCUCCAUAACAAUGACUAAGGUGAGGUUUCUCAUUGGUGUGCAGGUUCUCAUGCCGUCUCAAAUGCUCUCGCCUCUUGAACUUUGUACCGCAAUAUGAACAAACAUGGGGAGUUUUGUCCAAAUGGAUCAUUCUGUGUUUUCCCAGCUUUUCCCCAGUACUAAAUUUCUUGCCACACUGGUUGCAUGUAUAACCGUCUGGUCCUGGAUGAUCAACUUCAUGAUGCAACAUCAGUUCCUUUUGAUGUUCACAUCGCUUCUCACACAGUUGGCAGACGUGGUUUGUCACCUGAUGAGUCUUUUCAUGCGUCUGCAACUCUCCUGGAUCCCUGAAUCCAAUGCCACAAUCAAAACAGAUAAAGGAACUGCCAGAAUGAGAACAGCUGUGGCGCUUUAGGUGAUCCUUUCGGCCAAAGUCAAGGCCACAUUCUUCACAGUGGUGCAGCUUGGAGGCUUUUACGUUGCUCUCCCGAAUUCUCCUAGAGUCUUUGCGACCCUUUAAACAUUUUCCACAAAAAUUUAACGAAACAUGAUAUAUGAAACAGUCCCCACAAUCUUUGCAAAUAAAUUGUCUCGAUACAUCUUCCUCUGUCUCUCCUACAGUGUUUAAGUCUAUUUCAGUUGCCUCCAGAUCCCUUUGUGUCGGCAAGCCUUUCAAGGUGUCUUUAAUGAUACAUGUCCUGACAUUGCCUACUGCUUUUAGGGUUUUGCGGUAUUGGUCCGGGUGCAUUUCCCUGGCAUGAUUCUCAAACUCCAGUCCACUGGCAAGCUUUAGGACACAGAGUUGACAAUAGAAAAUAUCCCCCUGUUGGCUCAUCCUACUUGCCUCUAUGAAAGCCUUUACAUGCUUACGCAGGUGGAAGCACUUAUGCUUUUGGAAAAUAUCUGCCUUUUCAAAAUGACGGUCACAUUCACAGCACGUUAAAGAAAAUGUGUUUUUACGCAAGUCAUUUUCCCAAUGAUACAUUUUCUCAUGUUUGGUGCAAGCUUUAAGCUUGUUGAAUGCUCUACCACAAACUGGACAUCUAAUCUGUUGUUUCACUGCCGCUCCGUGCUCCUGUUUAGGCGGCACUAUUUCACUUUUGCCCUGUGCCCAAGCAUGUCUUUUCUGGUGUUUUUGGUAAGAUUUGAAAAACUUAAAAACCUUCCCACAGUCCAGACAAGGAAACAGAGGAGAACGUUUAGAGUCAGGCGGAAAAGGAGGAGAACGUUUAGAGUCAGGCGGAAAAGGAGGAGAACGUUUAGAGUCAGAAGGAAAAGGAGGAGAACGUUUAGAGUCAGAAGGAAAAGGAGGAGAACGGUUAGAGUCAGAAGGAAAAGGAGGAGAACGGUUAGAGUCAGAAGGAAAAGGAGGAGAAACGGAGAAACGGUUAGAGUCAGAAGGAAAAGGAGGAGAACGGUUAGAGUCAGAAGGAAAAGGAGGAGAACGGUUAGAGUCAGAAGGAAAAGGAGGAGAACGGUUAGAGUCAGAAGGAAAAGGAGGAGAACGGUUAGAGUCAGAAGGAAAAGGAGGAGAACGGUUAGAGUCAGAAGGAAAAGGAGGAGAACGGUUAGAGUCAGAAGGAAAAGGAGGAGAACGGUUAGAGUCAGAAGGAAAAGGAGGAGAACGGUUAGAGUCAGAAGGAAAAGAACGGUUAGAGUCAGAAAGAAAAGGAGGAGAACGGUUAGAGUCAGAAGGAAAAGGAGGAGAACGGUUAGAGUCAGAAGGAAAAGGAGGAGAACGGUUAGAGUCAGAAGGAAAAGGAGGAGAACGGUUAGAGUCAGAAGGAAAAGGAGGAGAACGGUUAGAGUUAGAAGGGAAAGGAGGAGAACAUUUAGAGUCAGGCAUUUGCUGCUCUGCAGUGUUGGGUAGUUCAUCAUCAGAAGAUAUUAGAAUACAUGCAUCCUGAUCCUCAGUAUCGUCGCUGUUCUUCCUGUUUUUCUUGAUGGCCCUUACACAAGUUUCUGUGGCAUCUUUCCUAUUGCCUUCAAGACGUACAAUAAUCUCAGAACUUGAAGGGUUCCUCUGUUUUUUUCUGCUUUUUUUGGUUAUCCUGUGAGUCUUCUCAUGCUUUAUGAAAGAAGUUAGGUAUUUGAACCCCUUACCACAGUGCCUGCAGGUGUGAAGGCCUUUCACUUUCUGAUUGACAUUUAAGCCUACUGUUAUGAUUGACUUUCGAUUUCCUCUCAGUCUUGGUACAAUGUGAGUGGCCUGGUGCUUUGUGAAUGAAGUUAGGUAUUUAAACUCCUUCCCACAAGUCUUGCAGGUGUACAGGGCUUUGAUAUGAGUUUCCUCAUGUUUUCGAAAUGAAGUUAGGUAUUUGAACACCUUCCCACAAGUCAUGCAGGUGUGCAGGGGUGAGACACCUUCUUUUUCCAUUGACUUGGCUUUCGGUCUUGCUCUCUCACUUGCUAUAUCACAUAUUGAAUGAGAGCUUAUGAAGUGCUGCUCCAGCUCUGGUUCGCUAGUGAAGGAGGCUUCGCAGGCAUCACAUGGAAAGAACUGGAGUUCCACAUUCGCAAAACC